rnacentral:rRNA from 1 species
CCCUUAGAUGUCCUGGGCCGCACGCGCGCUACACUGAUGCAUGCAACGAGUUUAUAACCUUGGCCUGAAAGGUCUGGGUAAUCUUUUGAACGUGCAUCGUGAUAGGGAUAGAUUAUUGCAAUUGUUAAUCUUGAACGAGGAAUUCCUAGUAAACGCGAGUCAUCAGCUCGCAUUGAUUACGUCCCUGCCCUUUGUACACACCGCCCGUCGCUCCUACCGAUGAGUCGUCCGGUGAAGUUCGUAGACCUCGUGAUCGCGGAUCACUGGGGGAAGCAAAAUGAACCUCGCGGUUUAGAGGAAGGAGAAGUCGUAACA